rnacentral:lncRNA from 1 species
GUUGGUUGACCGUUAUGGAAUAACUGUUUCACAGAUGAUAUCGGAUAUGUUCAUUAUGUUGUAUACAACCCACUUCCCUUUUUACCACGAAUGUAACUUACCGGAUUUAACUAUUAACCGGGUCUGUAAUAACAUGAGCAACACAACUGGUGCAACAUGCAAAACAGGAUCUGCUGACUCUUCCGGAGUACCUAAGACCACCCCCAGUUUUAGGUGAGAUUCGUGUUACUUUGCCUUUAGGUUUCUAUGUUGUGUCUUUUGUACAAUUAUUUGUCUGUCUUUUUUUAAUAUUUUAGCCAUGGCGAUGUCAGUUUAUUUUCGAUCUAUGAAUUUGGCUAUCCGUCUGGUAUCUUUUGCCCCUCUUUUUAUAAAUCAAAAAUAAAUAUUUGAAUUAAUCAUUAUUUAAACAUUUCUAUGUAUUUUCUUUUCUUUCUCGGUAAAUUUCAAACACAAUUCAUUUUAAUUUCUUAUCUUGAAUUAAAAG